rnacentral:rRNA from 1 species
UACGUAGGGGGCAAGCGUUGUCCGGAAUCAUUGGGCGUAAAGCGCGUGUAGGCGGCCCGAUAAGUCCGCUGUGAAAGUCCAGGGCUCAACCCUGGAAUGCCGGUGGAUACUGUCGGGCUCGAGUCCGGAAGAGGCGAGUGGAAUUCCUGGUGUAGCGGUGAAAUGCGCAGAUAUCAGGAGGAACACCAAUUGCGAAGGCAGCUCGCUGGGACGUUACUGACGCUGAGACGCGAAAGCGUGGGGAGCAAACAGA